CAAAGUCAAAUCUCCAGUCAUAUACAAUCACAAUAAUACGGUAUGUUUGUGAUGUGUAACAUUACUAAGGGGAUUGAAAACUAUGAUUUUCCGUCUGGUGUCUAACACAAGCGCAACAUGGGAAAUUUACGACGUAUUUUCAUACCGAUUAAUCUGGAAACAGAUUUGAAUCUGUCGUCAAGUCUUUUUUGAGACCGACUUCCCCGCGUUUUCAAAUUUAUUCCUCUAACUCAUAAAAAAUAGGAGUAGCUAAAAAAAUGGAAUACUUUAAUUUUUGCACCAAUCAACGCAUCAGACAACGCAGACAACGCAACUAGACCGGAAAAAACAUUUUAAUUU